CUGAAAAUUGGGCCGGGUGGAAACGUUAGUCCUGGAGGAACGUGGAUCCCCGAGGAACCUUACUGAGGGCUGAACUCUGGCCGGGGAGUACAGUUACCCUGGCAAUGACGCUCUCCCGGUGCGAUAGAAGGUGGUAGGCGGGAGGAGACGGGACGGGGCUUCCGGCGGAAGUGACUAGCCUUCCACCGACUGUCAGGGAAGAUGCUGCGUUCAGUGUGGCAGUGGCUUUGCCUCGGACUGUACAGCCUCCUGCUGGGACAGGCGGAGGCCCCGACACCCGUGGAGCCGCCAGAGCGGAGCCGACCGUAUGCGGUGCUGCGUGGGCAGAACCUGGUGUUGAUGGGAACCAUCUUCAGCCUCCUGCUGGUGACCGUGAUCCUCAUGGCAUUCUGUGUCUACAAGCCCAUUCGGCGCCGGUGACAGCCGAGCAAGCAAGUCCUUCCACGAGCAUCUGGGAACGGAAUAAGUUGUGUUGCACGCGGGUCAGUGGAGAAGCUGGAAUCAGAACGUUACUGUUUGGAAAUGGUCUUUGGUCUGGACAGUUGGUAAAUUCUGAACAAUUUAGAGAAAACAUCUAGCCGUUGUCUUAUCCUAAUGCUGGAAGGCAAGCACUGGGCCCUGAGUCUGCUGCUCGGUGUCUCUUCCUAUAUCUGGCUGUGCUUGUUGAGAGUAAGACCUGAAGUUCCGGGGCUCAGCGUAAAGAUGGAGUGCUCACGAGAAAGAAAGCAUAACUUUGUGAGUGGUGAAAAAACCACCCUGGAUAGGAAAGUUUGUUUGAAACUGUUAAGGAAGACUUGACCUGUUGACAUUCCCUACUUAAGAAUCAUUUGGUCACAAUGGGAUAAGAAUAACAAAUGUUUUUAAUUAUCCAGAGGUGGCCUCGAUGCCCCAUUUGCAAAGCAGUGUCCGCCGUGGGGAAUGUAGGCGGUACCCCCCCACCCCACUCCUCACGCUGCAUAGAGCUCUGUGCUCAGAUGCCUCCACUGAAGUCAGGCUCGCCAGGUAGGCCUGUGACCACCGGCACCCUUGGGCUGGGAGGCUCUGGGGACGACCGGAGGUAUAGCAGUUGGCCCAUCUCAAACACGUUGACUUCCUUGUCCUGCACUUAAAGUCUUCCCAGCCCGUGGCCUGGAAGUCAGGGCAGCUUUCUGAUUCUCAGCAGGCGCUCUUUUCCGCCCUGAGUGGGGAGGGCGCAGGACGCAGCAGAUGUGCGUAUUCACUGUCAAGGCCAAGGGGCAAGUAGGUGUGUGUUUACACAAUUUAAUUUCAACUUUGAAAAUGCUGCUAUUCAUUUGCACUGUUGGUGAACUGGAACAUCCCCCCCUGGAAAUACUUUCAUUCUUAACAGUAUUUAUUUUAAGGGUGCUAGGCUUAUCUGUGUUACUAAAUUAAAACGCUUAUCUUAUUUUGUGCUCCAUUCUAGCACAGCACUGAUUUUUUUUUUUUUAAACAACCUGAACUAAAUGUGAAAUAACUGAAGUGAGAUACUAUAACUGACCUAACGAUUUUGUGUGUAACCCUGGACUGAGCCACUGACACGUCCACUGUUCUGUGCUUCUGAGCAAAAUGCCCAUUAAAACUAAAGUAAAAUCUUAA